AACGAACGCUGGCGGCAUGCCUAACACAUGCAAGUCGAACGAGACCUUCGGGUCUAGUGGCGCACGGGUGCGUAACGCGUGGGAAUCUGCCCUCUGGUACGGAAUAACUCAGGGAAACUUGAGCUAAUACCGUAUAAUGACUUCGGUCCAAAGAUUUAUCGCCUGAGGAUGAGCCCGCGUCGGAUUAGCUAGUUGGUGAGGUAAAGGCUCACCAAGGCGACGAUCCGUAGCUGGUCUGAGAGGAUGAUCAGCCACACUGGGACUGAGACACGGCCCAGACUCCUACGGGAGGCAGCAGUGGGGAAUAUUGGACAAUGGGCGCAAGCCUGAUCCAGCAAUGCCGCGUGAGUGAUGAAGGCCUUAGGGUUGUAAAGCUCUUUUACCCGGGAUGAUAAUGACAGUACCGGGAGAAU
rnacentral:rRNA from 1 species